GCCAGGCGUGGUGGUGCACACCUGUAAUCCCAGCUACUCGGGAGGCUGAGGCAGGAGAAUUGCUUGAACCCAGGAGGCAGAGGUUGCAGUGAGCCAAGAUCGCACCACUGCACUCUAGCCUGGGUGACAAAGUGAGACUCUGUCUCGA
rfam:Homo sapiens chromosome 1, GRCh38 reference primary assembly.